rnacentral:tRNA from 1 species
GGUCCCAUGGUGUAAUGGUUAGCACCCUGGACUCUGAAUCCAGAGAUCCGAGUUCGAGUCUCGGUGGGACCU